rnacentral:rRNA from 1 species
GCUCCCGGAUGUUAGCGGCGGACGGGUGAGUAACACGUGGGUAACCUGCCUGUAAGACUGGGAUAACUCCGGGAAACCGGAGCUAAUACCGGAUAGUUCCUUGAACCGCAUGGUUCAAGGAUGAAAGACGGUUUCGGCUGUCACUUACAGAUGGACCCGCGGCGCAUUAGCUAGUUGGUGAGGUAACGGCUCACCAAGGCGACGAUGCGUAGCCGACCUGAGAGGGUGAUCGGCCACACUGGGACUGAGACACGGCCCAGACUCCUACGGGAGGCAGCAGUAGGGAAUCUUCCGCAAUGGACGAAAGUCUGACGGAGCAACGCCGCGUGAGUGAUGAAGGUUUUCGGAUCGUAAAGCUCUGUUGUUAGGGAAGAACAAGUGCAAGAGUAACUGCUUGCACCUUGACGGUACCUAACCAGAAAGCCACGGCUAACUACGUGCCAGCAGCCGCGGUAAUACGUAGGUGGCAAGCGUUGUCCGGAAUUAUUGGGCGUAAAGGGCUCGCAGGCGGUUUCUUAAGUCUGAUGUGAAAGCCCCCGGCUCAACCGGGGAGGGUCAUUGGAAACUGGGAAACUUGAGUGCAGAAGA